rnacentral:rRNA from 1 species
UAACGCGUGGGGAACCUACCGUACGCAGGGGGACAACAGUCAGAAAUGACUGCUAAUACCGCAUAAGCACACAAUGCUGCAUGGCAUGGUGUGAAAAGAUUUAUCGGCAUACGAUGGCCCCGCGUCUGAUUAGCCAGUUGGCAGGGUAACGGCCUACCAAAGCAACGAUCAGUAGCCGGCUUGAGAGAGUGACCGGCCACAUUGGGACUGAGACACGGCCCAGACUCCUACGGGAGGCAGCAG